AGAAGUUCUAAAAGGUUUGUUCAUUUCAUGUUCACACCACUCCACGUGCUUCCCUUCUGAAGCUGAGCACUGGGUCAAACAGGAGGAGACCUUCUCCAUAGAGGAAGACCAUUCUUCCCUCAGGGUAUAAGAGCAGCUGCACUUCUCUGCCACAACCUCCAAACUCUCAAAGUUCAUUUGUAGAAGAAUAAAGGGUAAUCAGGUUGGUAAAAUAAUCUUUUUUAAUUUAAAAAGAACUUU
rfam:Felis catus isolate Cinnamon breed Abyssinian chromosome A3, whole genome shotgun sequence.